ACUCCUACGGGAGGCAGCAGUGGGGAAUAUUGCACAAUGGGCGAAAGCCUGAUGCAGCAACGCCGCGUGAGCGAUGAAGGCCUUCGGGUCGUAAAGCUCUGUCCUAUGGGAAGAUAAUGACGGUACCAUAGGAGGAAGCCCCGGCUAACUACGUGCCAGCAGCCGCGGUAAUACGUAGGGGCAGCGUAUCGGAAUACUGGGCGUAAAGGGUGCGUAGGCGGUUUAUCAAGUCAGGGGUGAAAGGCUACGGCUCAACCAUAGAACUGCUUUUGAAACUGGUAACCUAGAGUAUGGGAGAGGUAGAUGGAAUUUCUGGUGUAGGGGUAAAAUCCGUAGAGAUCAGAAGGAAUACCGAUUGCGAAGGCGAUCUACUGGAACAUUACUGACGCUGAGACGCGAAAGCGUGGGGAGC
rnacentral:rRNA from 1 species